UGCGAUUCAAUUGGGUUGUUUAAGGUUGUAACCUUAUACAAACCACACCCACUAGAUAAUCAUGACAGUCUGAUUAACUUCCGAUAGAGAUGAGCAAUAAGUGAUAUACUGUAGAAAUUCGCUCAGGGUGGGAUCCCCUUUUAUAUCUCAAACUCAUCUGGGAUUCCUAAAGGGGAUCCCGCAUUUUUGUAUCGAGAAAUUCUUCGAAGUUGUUUUAUCGAAGGAAGCAAGUGUACAGUUGCUUCCACAGUAGCAAGGUCAAAAGGUGGCCACCUUAUACUGUACAAGUAAGGUCGACCUCAAAACCCCUAUAGAAAAGGUUUUUUCAUCAUUAGAAAACCCUUUAAUUGUUCUUCUUGACCUCAAAAUGUAAGGAUAUUAAAGAAAAAAUGAUUUUUAAAUAUUAAAAUUGAUAUAUCUUGCAACACAUUAUCUAGACCGUCUAUUGUCAAAAUUUUCGUGUGUUUAUAGAUGUGCUAGAUGUACCAUUUAUGGAGCUUUCAAUUUCAUAAUAGGUAGAAAAGUAGAUUUUCAGGUCUUCAAAAGAGUUUUGGCACCAAAAAUGCAUCUUUUAACAAGAUUUUGAGGUACAAUUUACCUUGAUUUUUAAAACUUGAUACCUUAUACAACCUCACCCAAUUCUAAAUUGUGUGUGCUCUAAGAUCAGUU
rnacentral:lncRNA from 1 species